rnacentral:rRNA from 1 species
CGGGAUAACAACCUGGAAACAGAUGCUAAUACCGGAUAACAACAGAUGAUGCCUAUCAACUGUUUAAAAGAUGGUUCUGCUAUCACUCUUGGAUGGACCUGCGGUGCAUUAGCUAGUUGGUAGGGUAACGGCCUACCAAGGCGAUGAUGCAUAGCCGAGUUGAGAGACUGAUCGGCCACAUUGGGACUGAGACACGGCCCAAACUCCUACGGGAGGCAGCAGGA